rnacentral:rRNA from 1 species
GGGUUGUGAGGUUAAGCGACUAAGCGUACACGGUGGAUGCCCUGGCAGUCAGAGGCGAUGAAGGACGUGCUAAUCUGCGAAAAGCGUCGGUAAGGUGAUAUGAACCGUUACAGCCGGCGAUGUCCGAAUGGGGAAACCCAGUGUGAUUCGUCACACUAUCGUUAACUGAAUACAUAGGUUAACGAGGCGAACCGGGGGAACUGAAACAUCUAAGUACCCCGAGGAAAAGAAAUCAACCGAGAUUCCCCCAGUAGCGGCGAGCGAACGGGGAGCAGCCCAGAGUCUGAAUCAGCUUGUGUGUUAGUGGAACGGUCUGGAAAGUCCGACGGUACAGGGUGAUAGUCCCGUACACCAAAAUGCACAGGUUGUGAACUCGAAGAGUAGGGCGGGACACGUGGUAUCCUGUCUGAAUAUGGGGGGACCAUCCUCCAAGGCUAAAUACUCCUGACUGACCGAUAGUGAACCAGUACCGUGAGGGAAAGGCGAAAAGAACCCCGGCGAGGGGAGUGAAAAAGAACCUGAAACCGUGUACGUACAAGCAGUGGGAGCACCUUCGGGUGUGACUGCGUACCUUUUGUAUAAUGGGUCAGCGACUUAUAUUCUGUAGCAAGGUUAACCGUAUAGGGGAGCCGCAGGGAAACCGAGUCUUAACUGGGCGUUAAGUUGCAGGGUAUAGACCCGAAACCCGGUGAUCUAGCCAUGGGCAGGUUGAAGGUUGGGUAACACUAACUGGAGGACCGAACCGACUAAUGUUGAAAAAUUAGCGGAUGACUUGUGGCUGGGGGUGAAAGGCCAAUCAAACCGGGAGAUAGCUGGUUCUCCCCGAAAGCUAUUUAGGUAGCGCCUCGUGAAUUCAUCUUCGGGGGUAGAGCACUGUUUCGGCUAGGGGGUCAUCCCGACUUACCAACCCGAUGCAAACUACGAAUACCGAAGAAUGUUAUCACGGGAGACACACGGCGGGUGCUAACGUCCGUCGUGAAGAGGGAAACAACCCAGACCGCCAGCUAAGGUCCCAAAGUCACAGUUAAGUGGGAAACGAUGUGGGAAGGCACAGACAGCCAGGAUGUUGGCUUAGAAGCAGCCAUCAUUUAAAGAAAGCGUAAUAGCUCACUGGUCGAGUCGGCCUGCGCGGAAGAUGUAACGGGGCUAAACUGUGCACCGAAGCUGCGGCAGCGACACUAUGUGUUGUUGGGUAGGGGAGCGUUCUGUAAGCCUGCGAAGGUGGCCUGUGAGGGUUGCUGGAGGUAUCAGAAGUGCGAAUGCUGACAUAAGUAACGAUAAUGCGGGUGAAAAGCCCGCACGCCGGAAGACCAAGGGUUCCUGUCCAACGUUAAUCGGGGCAGGGUGAGUCGACCCCUAAGGCGAGGCCGAAAGGCGUAGUCGAUGGGAAACAGGUUAAUAUUCCUGUACUUGGUGUUACUGCGAAGGGGGGACGGAGAAGGCUAUGUUAGCCGGGCGACGGUUGUCCCGGUUUAAGCAUGUAGGCGGAGGUUCCAGGUAAAUCCGGUACCUUUUAACGCUGAGGUGUGAUGACGAGGCACUACGGUGCUGAAGUAACAAAUGCCCUGCUUCCAGGAAAAGCCUCUAAGCAUCAGGUAACAUUGAAUCGUACCCCAAACCGACACAGGUGGUCAGGUAGAGAAUACCAAGGCGCUUGAGAGAACUCGGGUGAAGGAACUAGGCAAAAUGGUGCCGUAACUUCGGGAGAAGGCACGCUGAUAUGUAGGUGAAGCCCCUGCGGGUGGAGCUGAAAUCAGUCGAAGAUACCAGCUGGCUGCAACUGUUUAUUAAAAACACAGCACUGUGCAAACACGAAAGUGGACGUAUACGGUGUGACGCCUGCCCGGUGCCGGAAGGUUAAUUGAUGGGGUUAUCCGUAAGGAGAAGCUCUUGAUCGAAGCCCCGGUAAACGGCGGCCGUAACUAUAACGGUCCUAAGGUAGCGAAAUUCCUUGUCGGGUAAGUUCCGACCUGCACGAAUGGCGUAAUGAUGGCCAGGCUGUCUCCACCCGAGACUCAGUGAAAUUGAACUCGCUGUGAAGAUGCAGUGUACCCGCGGCAAGACGGAAAGACCCCGUGAACCUUUACUAUAGCUUGACACUGAACAUUGAGCCUUGAUGUGUAGGAUAGGUGGGAGGCUUUGAAGCGUGGACGCCAGUCUGCGUGGAGCCAACCUUGAAAUACCACCCUUUAAUGUUUGAUGUUCUAACGUUGGCCCCUGACCGGGGUUGCGGACAGUGUCUGGUGGGUAGUUUGACUGGGGCGGUCUCCUCCCAAAGAGUAACGGAGGAGCACGAAGGUUAGCUAAUCCUGGUCGGACAUCAGGAGGUUAGUGCAAUGGCAUAAGCUAGCUUGACUGCGAGCGUGACGGCGCGAGCAGGUGCGAAAGCAGGUCAUAGUGAUCCGGUGGUUCUGAAUGGAAGGGCCAUCGCUCAACGGAUAAAAGGUACUCCGGGGAUAACAGGCUGAUACCGCCCAAGAGUUCAUAUCGACGGCGGUGUUUGGCACCUCGAUGUCGGCUCAUCACAUCCUGGGGCUGAAGUAGGUCCCAAGGGUAUGGCUGUUCGCCAUUUAAAGUGGUACGCGAGCUGGGUUUAGAACGUCGUGAGACAGUUCGGUCCCUAUCUGCCGUGGGCGCUGGAGAAUUGAGGGGGGCUGCUCCUAGUACGAGAGGACCGGAGUGGACGCAUCACUGGUGUUCGGGUUGUCAUGCCAAUGGCAUUGCCCGGUAGCUAAAUGCGGAAGAGAUAAGUGCUGAAAGCAUCUAAGCACGAAACUUGCCCCGAGAUGAGUUCUCCCUGACUCCUUGAGAGUCCUGAAGGAACGUUAAAGACGAUGACGUUGAUAGGUCGGGUGUGUAAGCGUAGCGAUACGUUGAGCUAACCGAUACUAAUGAACCGUGAGGCUUAACCUUACAACGCCGAAGGUGUUU